rnacentral:lncRNA from 1 species
UUCCAAAUUCCAAAUUCAAUUUUGCUUUCCUAUACCACCAUACAUGUGCAGAACCAUAUGUCAGACAUAACUCGAAACCAACAUUACCAAAUUCAAUUUUGUUUUCCACCGUAUAUGUGCAGAUCAACAUUAACCACCACCACCACCACCAAUACCAACUGCCACCACUAUUAGCAUCAUCUUCACAACACGAAACCCUAGUCAUCUUCAUCCGCAUUCUCUUUAUCAGACCUGAGCAAACCCCAGCCACCAAAUCGGAGGCCAGAUCUGAGACUUCUGGCGGCCACAUCAAAUCAUCUCCAUCACACGAAACCCAUAGUGUAUAAACUCCGACUGCCAGAUCUGAAAACUACGGCGACCACCGCAGGCUUUAUCCAGAGAGUGGUGGUGGCAGAUGUAGAGAGAGAGAAAGUGGUGGUAGCAACCACCUAAGGAAUCCGCUGUCACCAUCAGAUCUGUUUUUUCACAUGGCUUCAACCCCCAAAUUGUGCCCAAAACAAGUUGACUGUGAACCACUUUCUAGACGAAUCUGUGUUAGUUGUGGUGGUUCUAAUGACGAGGUGGUGGUGGCGGUUUGACGGAAUUACUGUGGUGGCGGUGGUUACCGGAACUAUUGUGGUGGUGACCGGAAUCUUUGAAGAAGAUGUUGGGUUUAGAGAGAGAUAGAUGGUAGGGGUGGAAGAGAUAGACUUGGUUUUAGAAUCUGCAUAACUUAGGGUAUGUUUGGUAUGGGGUAAUGGAAUAGACAGUGGAAUGGAAUGGACGAUGUAAUGGAAUGGAUGAGAAAAGACGAAGGAAUAAAAUCGGAUGAUGGUGGUCAGUGGUGGGCAAUGACGGUGGAUGGUGAUAGGUGGCAGUUGUACCGGUGACGGUGGGUGGCGGCGGUGGUAGGUGGUGAUGGCGGCGGGUGGCGACAACGGCGGUGGUGGUGGGUGACGACGAGGUGGGUGGCGGCGGUGGCGGUGGCGAUGGUGGUGGGCGGUGGUCGGAGGUGGUAGCGGUGUCGACGAUGGGUGGCGGUAGUGGAGGUGGCGGGUCGGGCGGUGGUGGCGGCGAUGGUUACAGUGGCAGUGUUGGUAGUGGUGGUGUCGUCGCUGGGUGGUGACGGUGGUGGUCGGAGUCGGCGGCGGGGCAUUUGUAGCGGUGGAGAUGGGUGACGACGGUAGGUGGCGGUGGUGGUGGUGGUGGGUGGUGGCAAUAGUGGUGGGUUGUGGUGUUGUUAAUA